AUUAUCUUGGAUUCUCCAGCAUCUGCAGUUCCCAUUGUCACUCAUACGAUUAGACUGGUUUGAUGAGGAAUUUAAAGAUUACGAGUCCCAUCCGUUUGACUCACAGUUUGGUACCAUAGGUUGGUACGAUCUUCGUUCAAGAAGGAAAAGGGAUGUUCCAGAUACAGAAAAUCAUCAAACCAUUCACUGCAAAGUCCGUUUCUGGAUCCACAGACUGAACACCCAGUUCCACUCAGCUUUACUGGACACCAAAAAUCGGUGGAGUUAGUGGAACCGAAAAAGAUGUCUCCCUCACAGCGUUUGUGACACAAGAAUUGCAUCGUUCCUUGGCGGCCUUUCAACAGAAUAAUAUUCAGAGAUUUCCCGAGUG